CAAAGGCUUGGUCCUGACUUUAUCAUCAGCUUCAGCCGAACUUACACAUGCAAGUAUCCGCACCCCUGUGAGAAUGCCCUCAGUGCCUGCCUGAAAGGUGGG
rnacentral:rRNA from 1 species